rnacentral:misc_RNA from 1 species
GAAAUGCGAUAAGUAAUGUGAAUUGCAGAAUUCAGUGAAUCAUCGAAUCUUUGAACGCACCUUGCGCUCCUUGGUAUUCCUUGGAGCAUGCCUGUUUGAGUAUCAUGAAAUCUUCAAAGUAAAUCUUUUGUUAACUCAAUUGGUUUCUACUUUGGUAUUGGAGGUCUUUGCAGCUUCCCACCUGCUCCUCUUUGUUCAUUAGCUGGAUCUCAGUGUUAUGCUUGGUUCAACUCGGCGUGAUAAGUUAUCUAUCGCUGAGGACACUGUAAAAGGUGGCCAAGGUAAAUGCAGAUGAACCGCUUCUAAUAGUCCAUUGACUUGGACAAUACUUUUAUGAUCUGAUCUCAAAUCAGGUAGGACUACCCGCUGAACUUAAGC